rnacentral:rRNA from 1 species
UACGGAGGGUGCGAGCGUUACUCGGAUUCACUGGGCGUAAAGCGCGCGUAGGCGGCUAAGUCAGUCAGAAGUGAAAGCCCCGGGCUCAACCUGGGAACUGCACCCGAUACUGGCCGACUUGAGUGCGAGAGAGGGAGGUAGAAUUCCAUGUGUAGCGGUGAAAUGCGUAGAUAUAUGGAGGAAUACCGGUGGCGAAGGCGGCCUCCUGGCUCGACACUGACGCUGAGGUGCGAAAGCGUGGGUAGCAAACAGG